rnacentral:rRNA from 1 species
UGGGGAAUAUUGGACAAUGGGGGCAACCCUGAUCCAGCGAUGCCGCGUGUGUGAAGAAGGCCUGAGGGUUGUAAAGCACUUUAGUUGUUGAGGAAGGUUGUGUGGUGAAUACCCGCAUGACUUGACGGUAAACAAAGAAUAAGCACCGGCUAACUCUGUGCCAGCAGCCGCGGUAAUACAGAGGGGGCAAGCGUUGUUCGGAAUUACUGGGCGUAAAGCGCGCGUAGGCGGUCGUAUAAGUCGGAUGUGAAAGCCCUUGGCUCAACCAAGGAACUGCGUCCGAUACUGUACGGCUUGAGGCUGGUAGGGGGUAGCGGAAUUCCCGGUGUAGCGGUGGAAUGCGUAGAUAUCGGGAGGAACACCGAUGGCGAAAGCGGCUACCUGGGCCAGAUCUGACGCUGAGGCGCGAAAGCUAGGGGAGCAAACAGGAUUAGAUACCCAGGUAGUCCCUGAGCGGGCUGGCAAGGCGCAU